UUAAAAAUAAUUAUUUAAAAUUCUAUUAUACAAUAUAAAUAUACUAUAUAUACUAUCAAAGAAUAGUGUAUUUUUUGAUGGUAUUGUACCGUCAUGGCGUUAAGUAUCUACUGUCGCCCACUGGUGGUCUCGGUACUAAUUAAAAUAAUUUAUAUUACAGGAAUUUAAAUGUGAAACUGUGAAGCAAUAUGGCGAUUUUAGUUAACAAUUUUGACGCAGUAAAAUUUUGGCGCUGUUGACGUUUCGGCGGAACUUUCGAAUCUAUAUCAAUUGCAUUAUCGAUGUCAGUGUAUUAAUUAUGUAUAUUAUUUGUUUACAAUGUACUUGUAUAACGUUUCUCGAUAGAAAUUUCUUUCAUAACAGUUUGAAUUGAAUUAAAGAUUUGUGUAGUAGGUUUUUAGAUUUGAAAUAAAAACAAAUGUUCGUUGGUAUUUAA
rnacentral:lncRNA from 1 species